AUUAACAUAGGAAGAUGACAUAUUGAAAGGUGUUCAGAGAAAAGCAUCAAUGAGCAGCAGGUCCAAGACAUUGGAAAUACAACUAAAAGAGGAAUUUGUAACCUUGGCAGGGCCUUACUUAGAAAUGAUACUGUGGACAACUCCAUGGGAAGUACGCCCGAUGGCGAUUAUCGAAGUGACUGGCGUUGAACAUGGACUCUCCCCAGCUGACGAUGCCCACUAGAUCUGCUGGACAAGCAUGCACUUUCAGCUGAGUGAUCGUAGCCAUCGUCUAUCUCUGAAGCUGGAAGCAUCUGCUCCGCUUAAGGCAGUGUCUGCAGUGUGUUUGCUCCUGUGACCUGGCUUCAGAAAGUCACCUAUGUACUCUACAUAUUUGUCCAAUGACAGCACCUGGUGAUCUCAAGCAUAUAUGGCAACCUGGACUGGAAGAGGGGCUGUUUGGAAGAACUGCUACUGUAAUAUCCAAUAUAUCACAUGGAUUUUUCUUCCAGAGUAACCCUAGCCGCUUGAGCAAGAGCAAGUAGCUACAUGCCUGAAUCCACCGCCUGGAUCUGGAUUUGGAGGUCGCAGAGUAAGUGGAACGAGACAAGCGAUAGCUUGUGAACUGAGUGACCAGACCAAUCAGGCUGCUGGAGGAUGCGCGUGGACAAAGAGACCUAACCAAUCCAAGCACUGGAAGUGGCGUGUGAUAGCUCGGGGGGAAAUAAAAGGUCACUAGGGGAAAGCUUUGGGGCUGCUAUGCAGACGCUAUA